rnacentral:rRNA from 1 species
GACAGAGGGUGCAAACGUUGUUCGGAAUUACUGGGCGUAAAGCGCGUGUAGGCUGCUCGGAAAGUCGGGUGUGAAAGCCCUGGGCUCAACCUAGGAAGUGCACUCGAAACUUCCGAGCUGGAGUGCUGGAGAGGAAGGCGGAAUUCUCGGUGUAGAGGUGAAAUUCGUAGAUAUCGAGAGGAACACCGGUGGCGAAGGCGGCCUUCUGGACAGCCACUGACGCUGGAGACGCGAAAGCGUGGGGAGCAAACAGG